rnacentral:rRNA from 1 species
GAUGAACGCUGGCGGCGUGCCUAAUACGUGCAAGUCGAGCGAACGGACGAGAAGCUUGCUUCUCUGAUGUUAGCGGCGGACGGGUGAGUAACACGUGGAUAACCUACCUAUAAGACUGGGAUAACUUCGGGAAACCGGAGCUAAUACCGGAUAAUAUUUUGAACCGCAUGGUUCAAAAGUAAAAGACGGUCUUGCUGUCACUUAUAGAUGGAUCCGCGCUGCAUUAGCUAGUUGGUAAGGUAACGGCUUACCAAGGCAACGAUGCAUAGCCGACCUGAGAGGGUGAUCGGCCACACUGGAACUGAGACACGGUCCAGACUCCUACGGGAGGCAGCAGUAGGGAAUCUUCCGCAAUGGGCGAAAGCCUGACGGAGCAACGCCGCGUGAGUGAUGAAGGUCUUCGGAUCGUAAAACUCUGUUAUUAGGGAAGAACAUAUGUGUAAGUAACUGUGCACAUCUUGACGGUACCUAAUCAGAAAGCCACGGCUAACUACGUGCCAGCAGCCGCGGUAAUACGUAGGUGGCAAGCGUUAUCCGGAAUUAUUGGGCGUAAAGCGCGCGUAGGCGGUUUUUUAAGUCUGAUGUGAAAGCCCACGGCUCAACCGUGGAGGGUCAUUGGAAACUGGAAAACUUGAGUGCAGAAGAGGAAAGUGGAAUUCCAUGUGUAGCGGUGAAAUGCGCAGAGAUAUGGAGGAACACCAGUGGCGAAGGCGACUUUCUGGUCUGUAACUGACGCUGAUGUGCGAAAGCGUGGGGAUCAAACAGGAUUAGAUACCCUGGUAGUCCACGCCGUAAACGAUGAGUGCUAAGUGUUAGGGGGUUUCCGCCCCUUAGUGCUGCAGCUAACGCAUUAAGCACUCCGCCUGGGGAGUACGACCGCAAGGUUGAAACUCAAAGGAAUUGACGGGGACCCGCACAAGCGGUGGAGCAUGUGGUUUAAUUCGAAGCAACGCGAAGAACCUUACCAAAUCUUGACAUCCUUUGACAACUCUAGAGAUAGAGCCUUCCCCUUCGGGGGACAAAGUGACAGGUGGUGCAUGGUUGUCGUCAGCUCGUGUCGUGAGAUGUUGGGUUAAGUCCCGCAACGAGCGCAACCCUUAAGCUUAGUUGCCAUCAUUAAGUUGGGCACUCUAAGUUGACUGCCGGUGACAAACCGGAGGAAGGUGGGGAUGACGUCAAAUCAUCAUGCCCCUUAUGAUUUGGGCUACACACGUGCUACAAUGGACAAUACAAAGGGCAGCGAAACCGCGAGGUCAAGCAAAUCCCAUAAAGUUGUUCUCAGUUCGGAUUGUAGUCUGCAACUCGACUACAUGAAGCUGGAAUCGCUAGUAAUCGUAGAUCAGCAUGCUACGGUGAAUACGUUCCCGGGUCU